AGAGUUUGAUCCUGGCUCAGGAUGAACGCUAGCUACAGGCUUAACACAUGCAAGUCGAGGGGAAACGACAUCGAAAGCUUGCUUUUGAUGGGCGUCGACCGGCGCACGGGUGAGUAACGCGUAUCCAACCUGCCCACCACGUUGGGGAUAACCUUGCGAAAGUAAGACUAAUACCCAAUGACGUCUCUAGAAGACAUCUGAAAGAGAUUAAAGAUUUAAUCGGUGAUGGAUGGGGAUGCGUCUGAUUAGCUUGUUGGCGGGGUAACGGCCCACCAAGGCUACGAUCAGUAGGGGUUCUGAGAGGAAGGUCCCCCACAUUGGAACUGAGACACGGUCCAAACGUCCUACGGGAGGCA
rnacentral:rRNA from 1 species